AUAUCUUAGUUUAAGAUGAAUAAAAAUUUUUGAUAUUUUAGGAGGUAGUCAAAUUCUACCAGGUAUAAU
rnacentral:tRNA from 1 species